UACGAGGGGGGCAAGCGUUGUUCGGAAUUAUUGGGCGUAAAGGGUGCGUAGGCGGUCUGACAAGUCUGAUGUGAAAUCUAUGGGCUCAACCCAUAGUCUGCAUCGGAAACUGUUGGGCUUGAGUAUGGGAGAGGUGAGUGGAAUUUCCGGUGUAGCGGUGAAAUGCGUAGAUAUCAGGAGGAACACCAAUUGCGAAGGCAGCUCGCUGGGACGUUACUGACGCUGGAGACGCGAAAGCGUGGGGAGCAAACAGG
rnacentral:rRNA from 1 species